GAUGAGAUAUCCCAACGAAAGUUGUAAGACCCCUUGAAGACGACGAGGUAGAUAGGACAGAGGUGGAAGUGUGGUAACACAUGGAGCUGACUGUUACUAAUAGGUCGAGGGCAUAACCAAG
rnacentral:rRNA from 1 species